CCACGAAGCUUCCCCUGGAGAUGAACAGGAAUGCCAAAGCCUUGCGGCGAAGGCCGCCUUCCACACGCAAGCAUGGCGCACAAACACAUACAGAACGAUCUGCAGACGUUCGCCAACACACGGAAGAUGUGGACCAAACAACGGACCACGAGAGUAGCGAUGCCGAUGCCAUCGUCAUUCCAGACACGGCGCAGUUGAUGCAGUCGAAGCGGCUGCAGAUUCUCGCGGAUCAGCUCGAACGCUCACUCCGUGUCCUAGGCCAGAAGCUCGACCGCAUGCAGAUGCGGAUGGAGAACGCCGGCCGUGGCGCCCUACUGCCCUUCCAGCUGCGCCGAGCCAAGCAGGAAAAGGAGGAGCUGAAGCGCGAGAUCAUGGCGACGCAGCGGACCAUCAAGAGGUUGAUCUUCAUGUCAACCCAGAUGAAGCAGAUGAUCGCACUCAAGAAUGAAGUGCUGCAGAGCACACGCGCGCGUCUUCUGGAGGAGAUCAAGACGCUGGAGACGCAGGUCCACGAGAACGCGGAGCAGAUUCGUCGCGGGUAUGUCCAGCGCAUCAGCAUGCUGCAGCGCUACUGGCCAUGGAGGCAGCUACGCGAGCUCGGCGACACCACGGUGGGUAAAACCUUCGAGGAGGAACUGGCACGAGGCCCUCGGUACCGCAACAUUGGGAUUCAAAACAACAUCCAGACUGACUACAUUGUCCAGCAGCUACACUGGUUGCAGGAGCUGGGCAACCGCGAGGGCGUCUUUCGCGGUCACCUGCGCCUCCUGGAAGGCAUGGUCGAGGACUUGAACGACAUUACCGAUCUGCUCGAGACCACCAUGACGUGCACCGUUUGUGGCAUGCUCUACGAGAAUCCCGUGAUCCUCUGGCCCUGUGGUCACUCCUUCUGCCUCCCCUGCGUUGAGUGCCUUGCGAUUGCGCCGAGUUUGUACCGCUGCCCAACGUGCGGCAGCAUCGGCAGCGAGGGAUUUGUGCACAACCUGCUGCUCGCCGAGACGGUAGCCAAGUGGAUGUUCAAGGAUAAGGGGUACGGAGACACUCAAGCGCCACUCAAUGCCAUCCGUGUCCAUCUUCCGCGGUUUCGGCAGGACAGCAUCCAGUCGCGGAUUUCGCAGCUGAAGAAAGACCUGCGAGAGUCGGCCGAGAGGGCCGCCUCGCCGGGGAAGGAUCCUGCAGAGCGGGAGUUAAUCGCCAUUUCUUAUCGACUCUAUUAGAGGUUUGGCGCCACGGCUUCGCUCGUAGCGUAGCUUUCAUGGCUGCGUGUGGCGCACAAGCGCGUGAGGGCGGUGGCGGGUGUUCGUUGCGGGCAUGAUGAUCUCGCUGUGUUUGUGUGUGUGUGUGUGUGUGCAUGGGAAUCAGUUUGCACUUUUUCUCCUCCCCUGUCCUCGAUGAGGGCUCGAUGAUGUACAGUACGCUCGCCCGACUUUCGCGUUCCUAUGCUGGCAGCAUGGUGACGGGCGACACCCGCGUUUUUGCCGUCGUCGUCUUUCGCCACGUGACGCUGCCGCCGCCGCGGUUUCUCUUGGUUACGCCCUCUGUUUCACUGCUGCUCGCGUGCUCUCGUGCCGUCCUUUGCCCUCUUCUUCCGCGGGAAUGGAACACGGGUCGCGACGAGGUCACGAACGGACAAGC
rnacentral:misc_RNA from 1 species